rnacentral:tRNA from 1 species
GACGAGGUGGCCGAGUGGUUAAGGCGAUGGACUGCUAAUCCAUUGUGCUCUGCACGCCUGGGUACCAAUCCCAUCCUCGUCG